CCAAGUCAGGUGGCCAAGCACCCACGGGCUAUGCCGACGCUGCACAGCCUGUUCUGUUGGUGCCCAGGACAGGACGGUUGUGGGAGGCAGAGGUGGGUGAACCCUGUCCAGACCUGCUGUCCCUGGCAGUGUCCUGUGCACCUGGAGGUGCCUACCAGCCUGCCCUCACAGGGACCUGGAGAGGUGACCCACUCUUCGGGCAUCUUGAAAGGAGAUUUGCUUUUGUUCCCAUCUGCACUGUGGUUUGAAGUCUAGAAGACACUGAGAGACAAGCUAAGUGUGAAACAGUGACAUGUCCCAGUCUUCAGAGAAAAACAUGGUCAAAGAAGCAAGUGUCUGCAAUCUUAGCUCCUUCCCACUCCCCCCUUGCUAUUAAACCUGAGGGUCUCAGAAUCCUCGCAUCACUGCCUGGAAGGCAGCAGUGUUGAAGGUGUAGAUGAGCUCAAGUCACAUCCUUUCUCAAGGAGGCUCAAGAGAAGUUUCAUCCCAGGGUGUAGAAAUGGAAAAUUAAAAACAGACUCAGGCAAAGUUGUUAUUCUCAGAAAAUACUGGUUAAUUCAAACAGAAACCUUGUGUGGAGUUGUCCCUAUUUCAACAAGGUUUUGCCAGGAAGAGUUUCACAUUUCCAGGUUUAAGUGCCUAGCCAAGCCAAAGAGGUCACACAGGAGGAGCCUGGAACCUGUGAGCCAAGUUACUCAGCUGACACUGGUGGCACAGAGAAGGAGCCCUAUGGUGAAGUCAUCCUUCCGAAUCAAAGAGAGCAGGGGCUGGAAAACAGGAGGAGCAACAGGAGUUGUUCCAGAGGAGCAACUCUAA
rnacentral:lncRNA from 1 species